CUACGGGAGGCAGCAGUGGGGAAUAUUGCACAAUGGGCGAAAGCCUGAUGCAGCGACCCCGCGUUGAGGCGGAAGAAGUAUUUCGGUAUGUAAAGCUCUAUCGGGCAGGGGGAGAUAAUGACGGGUACCUGACUAAGAAGCACCGGCUAAAUACGUGCCAGCAGCCGCGGUAAU
rnacentral:rRNA from 1 species